rnacentral:rRNA from 1 species
CCCUUAGACGUUCUGGGCCGCACGCGCGCUACACUGACCGGUGCAACAAGCAUCCGUCCUUGGCCGACAGGCCCGGGCAAUCUUUGAACGCCGGUCGUGAUGGGGAUAGACUUUUGCAAUUUUUGGUCUUCAACGAGGAAUUCCUAGUAAACGCAAGUCAUCAACUUGCAUUGAUUACGUCCCUGCCCUUUGUACACACCGCCCGUCGCACCUACCGAUUGAAUGGUCCGGUGAAGCCUCCGGAUUGGCGCGCACCUCGGUGCCGCCGAGAAGUUGGCUAAACCUUACCAUUUAGAGGAAGGAGAAGUCGUAACA